rnacentral:tRNA from 2 species
CGGGGUGUAGCGCAGUUGGCUAGCGCGCCUCGUUUGGGACGAGGAGGCCGUGAGUUCGAGUCUCACCACCCCGA